rnacentral:rRNA from 1 species
CUACGGGUUGCAGCAGUGGGGAAUAUUGGACAAUGGGGGAAACCCUGAUCCAGCAAUGCCGCGUGUGUGAAGAAGGCCUGCGGGUUGUAAAGCACUUUCGGUUGGGAGGACUGCUUCUAGCACUAAUAUUGUUGGAAGUUGACGUUACCUUCAGAAGAAGCACCGGCUAACUCCGUGCCAGCAGCCGCGGUAAUACGGAGGGUGCAAGCGCUAAUCGGAAUUACUGGGCGUAAAGCGCGCGUAGGCGGCUAGAUCAGUCGGGUGUGAAAGCCCCGGGCUUAACCUGGGAACUGCAUCCGAUACUGGCUAGCUUGAGUACAGGAGAGGAGAGUGGAGUUCCACAUGUAGCGGUGAAAUGCGUAGAUAUGUGGAGGAACACCAAUGGCGAAGGCAGCUCUCUGGCCUGAUACUGACGCUGAGGUGCGAAAGCGUGGGGAGCAAACAGGAUUAGAUACCCGCGUAGUC